rnacentral:sRNA from 1 species
GUUGUAGUCCAACGCCAAGGCAAAAAAGGCAUCAUCUGAAGAAGACAAAUAGAGAGAGGAAGACGCUAAAGUUGAUGCAGAAAGCUUCCUACUCCCAUACGUGCAUUUGCCUUUUGGGGCAUCGUCUGUAAUAUAGGAAGAUGCCUCAUACAUAUUAAAAAUGAGGCAUCACUGACUGGGUUUGGGGUUUGGGGACAAGGAGAUCAAGGUAGAUUAGCGGCACGCUUGUAAAUUAUGGGGGGUAAACACUGUAGUGUUGGUAGACAAAUAGAUAUGCAUGUAUACACAAUUAGCAGAUUAUUGUGUACAGACAAUCAUACCUUUGAUGGGACAUCUUACUCCCAUGAAAUCAUAGACAUGUUGCUAUG